rnacentral:rRNA from 1 species
GACGAACGCUGGCGGCGUGCCUAAUACAUGCAAGUUGAGCGCUGAAGGUUGGUACUUGUUCCAACUGGAUGAGCAGCGGACGGGUGAGUAACGCGUGGGGAAUCUGCAUUUGAGCGGGGGACAACAUUUGGAAACGAAUGCUAAUACCGCAUAAAAACUUUAAACACAAGUUUUAUGUUUGAAAGAUGCAAUUGCAUCACUCAAAGAUGAUCCCGCGUUGUAUUAGCUAGUUGGUGAGGUAAAGGCUCACCAAGGCGAUGAUACAUAGCCGACCUGAGAGGGUGAUCGGCCACAUUGGGACUGAGACACGGCCCAAACUCCUACGGGAGGCAACAGUAGGGAAUCUUCGGACAUUGACGAAAGUCUUACCGAGCAACGCCGCGGGGGUGAAGAAGGUUCUCGGAUCUGAAAACUCUGUUGGUAGAGAAGGACGUUGGUGGGAGUGGAAAGCUCAUCAAGUGACGGUAACUACCCAGAAAGGGACGGCUAACUACGUG